rnacentral:rRNA from 1 species
GUAGGGAAUCUUCCGCAAUGGACGCAAGUCUGACGGAGCAACGCCGCGUGAGUGAUGAAGGUUUUCGGAUCGUAAAGCUCUGUUGCCCUAGACGAACAGCAUGAGGAGUAACUGCCUUGUGUGUGACGGUAUAGGAGAAGAAAGCCCCGGCUAACUACGUGCCAGCAGCCGCGGUAAUACGUAGGGGGCAAGCGUUGUCCGGAAUUAUUGGGCGUAAAGCGCGCGCAGGCGGUCAUUUAAGUCUGGUGUUUAAUCCUGGGGCUCAACCCCAGUUCGCAUCGGAAACUGGAUGACUUGAGUGUAGGAGAGGAAAGUGGAAUUCCACGUGUAGCGGUGAAAUGCGUAGAGAUGUGGAGGAACACCAGUGGCGAAGGCGACUUUCUGGCCUAUAACUGACGCUGAGGCGCGAAAGCGUGGGGAGCAAACAGGAUUAGAAACCCUAGUAGUCC